CCGGCGCUGAGCAGAUCCCAGCCGGCUCGCCCGCGCGCGCCCGCGGCCCGCGCGCCCCGCUAUACAUACGGCAUACGUCGCGCGGCGCUCGCGCCCGCGCAGCCUAGCCUGCUGGGCCGGGGGCGGGGCCACGGCGCGCCGCGCUUCCGCUUUCCACGCCCCAGCCGGUGACCGGUUCGAUCUGGCUCGGGCCACCCUGACACCUUCGCUGUGAGAGCGAGGGGGAACUGGGGCGGCGGCGGGCGGGGAAGUGACGGCCCCGGGGAACAAAGGGCGAGGCCGAGCAGAUGGCGGCGCUCUCCCCCUCCCCGCCCGUGCUGCCACUGUCACGUCCCCUCGGCUCACACAGGAAUUAAGUCAUCGCCACCACCUGACGCGUGUAACCAAUCUGCUGAGAGCUGAACAAGCGCCCCUCCUCACCAUCCCCCAGAACUGGUCCGAAACAGGAUUGAACCGCUUCUAACAAAGGGUGGAAACUUAGAAAACAAGCUUGGAGUCGCCUAUAUUUCCACAUUGUAACCACUUAAACAACAGAUUGCGAAUUUCAGGACCCCCUCUCGUUUUGACAACGGCUUUAUCUUCGUCUUGUACCAAAAAACCAAAUCCUAUGUACCAUAUACUUUACAUUUCCAUCUGUCUGCCUUGGGUUUCAUUGAAUCCACGUUCCAAAGUUAGACAUGAUGCUCAAGAAGAAAAUUGGUGACCCCGAAUGCUUUUUAAAUUGACUUAAUAUGUUUGCAUAAUGAUAGAUAUUAUCCUUUAAAAAUAAAUGAUGCUUGAUGUACAUUUUAAAAGGAAUUGGGAGAAAUAGGGAAAAAACACGUGGGGUGUUGAUGCCAUAUGUCAAAAUAAGCCAUGGAAGCCCUUUAUCAAAGAACAAUAAUCAAGUGUUUAAAGUCUUUUGCAUGUGGGUAUUAAAAUCAGGUACAUCUAGCAACCUUCUAAAAAAUGUCACUACUGUUCUUUAUUGGAGCUCAGUUUUGGAUCUAAGAUUGUAAAAUAAAGGAGAAAAUCCAAUACUGGA